AUAAUUACAGGUGACAUUUCCAU
rnacentral:piRNA from 1 species